rnacentral:lncRNA from 10 species
UUUCAAGAAAAGGCCCUCAGCUCCUGAACAUGUAACUUUUCUGAAUUCAAUGACAGUGACUCCUUUUGAUAAAGGGAAUUUCCGUUCGUUUGUUUUAAAAAAAAAUUUUUUAACGGUCUCUAUUUUUAACACUCUCAGCUGAAGCCCCAAGGUUGGCUUCAUGAGGCCCAGGGUCCAGGACAUCUCCUUUCCCAUGAAACUGUUCUGCUGAAGCACCUGGGGGGUGGGGGGGCUUUGUAUUCAUUCAUUCAUCCCACAUUCACUCACUCAUUCAUCCCACAUUCACUCACUCAUUCAUUCAUCCCACAUUCACUCAUUCAUUCAUCCCAAAUCACACAUUCAUUCAUUCAUCCCACAUUCACUCACUCAUUCAUCCCACAUUCACCCACUCAUUCAUUCAUCUCACAUUCAGUCAUUCCUUCAACACACAUUCCCUCAUUCAUCACACAUUCACUCACUCAUUCGUCCCACAUUCACUCAGCCCACAUUCUCUCACUCACACAUUCAUCACACAUUCACUAGCUCAUUCAUUCAUCCCAUAUUCACUCACUUUUCACUCAUCCCACAUUCAUUCACAGGCAUCCAUCCAUCCAUUCCACAUUCAUGUGUCCCUGACAGAUGUCAGGUGUCAGGUGGUGGGACCUGUUCCAGGAAUUGGAGACAGAGGGCAAGCCAUGCAGAAGGCAGGUAAACCAGACAGUGUUGGAGUGACCUGGGCUCUGGGAGAGAAUCAAACAGGGGACUUAUCAAACUGUGAGUGUUAGGGAGGCUUCUGAGGAGGUGACAUUUGUCAAACCUAUGACCUUGUGUCCUGUAUCCUUC